ACGGCCAUACCAUACUGAAUAUACCGGUUCUCGAUUUAGAUCACCAAAGUCAAGCAUCGGGGGCAGUCAGUACUUGGGUGGGUGACCACCAGGGAACACGGCGUGCCGUU